UACGUAGGGUGCAAGCGUUGUCCGGAAUUCUUGGGCGUAAAGAGCUCGUAGGCGGUCUGUUACGUCGGCUGUGAAAACCUGGGGCUCAACCCCGGGCCUGCAGCCGAUACGGGCAGACUAGAAUUCGGUAGGGGAGACUGGAAUUCCUGGUGUAGCGGUGAAAUGCGCAGAUAUCAGGAGGAACACCGGUGGCGAAGGCGGGUCUCUGGGCCGAUAUUGACGCUGAGGAGCGAAAGCGUGGGGAGCGAACAGG
rnacentral:rRNA from 1 species